GAUGAACGCUGGCGGCGUGCUUAACACAUGCAAGUCGAACGAGAAGUGGAGACGGAAACCUUCGGGCGGAAGACUUUACUUCGAGUGGCGGCCGGGUGAGUAACGCGUGGGUAACCUGCCUCAUACAGGGGGCUAACAGUUGGAAACGACUGUUACUACCGCAUAAGACCACAGCACCGCAUGGUGCGGGGGUAAAAACUCCGGUGGGAUGAGAUGGACCCGCGUUCGAUUAGCCAGUUGGCGGGGUAACGGCCCACCAAAGCGACGAUCGAUAGCCGAUCUGAGAGGAUGACCGGCCACAUUGGGACUGAGACACGGCCCAAACUCCUACGGGAGGCAGCAGUGGGGAAUAUUGCACAAUGGGGGAAACCCUGAUGCAGCGACGCCGCGUGAGUGAAGAAGUAUGUCGGUAUGUAAAGCUCUAUCAGCAGGGAAGAAAAUGACAGUACCGGAGUAAGAAGCCCCGGCUAACUACGUG
rnacentral:rRNA from 1 species